rnacentral:rRNA from 1 species
UACAGAGGUCCCGAGCGUUGUUCGGAUUCACUGGGCGUAAAGGGUGCGUAGGUGGCGAGGUAAGUCGGAUGUGAAAGCUCGGAGCUCAACUCCGAAAUGGCAUUGGAAACUACCUUGCUCGAGGGUUGGAGGGGGGACUGGAAUACUUGGUGUAGCAGUGAAAUGCGUAGAUAUCAAGUGGAACACCAGUGGCGAAGGCGAGUCCCUGGACAACUCCUGACACUGAGGCACGAAAGCGUGGGGAGCAAACAGG